rnacentral:rRNA from 1 species
UACGGAGGGUGCGAGCGUUGUCCGGAAUCACUGGGCGUAAAGGGCGCGUAGGCGGCAUGCCAAGCGUGUGGUGAAAGCCCGGGGCUCAACCCCGGGUCGGCCGUGCGGACUGGCGUGCUCGAGCACUGUAGGGGCGGGUGGAAUUCCGGGUGUAGCGGUGGAAUGCGUAGAGAUCCGGAAGAACACCGGUGGCGAAGGCGGCCCGCUGGGCAGGAAGGCUCGCAAGAGCCGGCUGACGCUGAGGCGCGACAGCGUGGGGAGCGAACAGG